AUAUCACGAAUUUUCGUACGAUCACCAAAGUUAAGCAACGUCGAGCUUGGCCAGUACCUAGAUGGGUAACCGCUUGGGAAUGCCAGGCGCGGUA